rnacentral:rRNA from 1 species
UGGGGAAUUUUGGACAAUGGGGGAAACCCUGACCCAGCAACGCCGCGUGAAGGAUGAAGUAUUUCGGUAUGUAAACUUCGAAAGAAUAGGAAGAAUAAAUGACGGUACUAUUUAUAAGGUCCGGCUAACUACGUGCCAGCAGCCGCGGUAAUACGUAGGGACCAAGCGUUGUUCGGAUUUACUGGGCGUAAAGGGCGCGUAGGCGGCAUGACAAGUCACUUGUGAAAUCUCUGGGCUUAACCCAGAACGGCCAAGUGAUACUGUCGCGCUAGAGUGCAGAAGGGGCAAUCGGAAUUCUUGGUGUAGCGGUGAAAUGCGUAGAUAUCAAGAGGAACACCUGAGGUGAAGACGGGUUGCUGGGCUGACACUGACGCUGAGGCGCGAAAGCCAGGGGAGCAAACGGGAUUAGAUACCCUAGUAGUCCCUGAGCGGGCUGGCAAGGCGCAU